AGCAACUGGAGGCCCAGUUCCCAUCUCUGUUACUGGGUCAAGGAGCGCAUGCAUGUGCCUGAUGCUGGCAGGUCCCCAGUUCUCAGGCAGCAGUGGAAAGACACUGACAACUGACUGAAGGGAGGAAGAAGUCUGCGGAAAUCUGCGAACAGGAACAGCCUAGUAGAACUGGUCGGUGGGGACCAGGCCCUGAAACUGGUAUCUGAUUGGCCUGGGCUCUCUCUUCCUCAUCUGAAAGAUGUCAGGAGCCUCCAUCAUACUCUCUGGCUGUCGUACAUUCCCACCAUGACAGAGGGUGAAAUGCCGAUGAGUGGCUAGCUGCUUGCCUAACUCCUGACAGGACUCUACCAGACCACACCCGUCUCCUUCCUGCUGAUUAUGAAUUUGCCAAACAUAUCAGACUGUGAGGUUGAAUUCCAACCAAUGAGAUGAGGUACAGUCCCCGCCUGAAUACAAUAAAAACUAGGUCACCUGGUUUUGGUCAUCACACUCUUUUUUACAAAAAGAAAUUGUAUUGCCAGUUCACUUUCAAUUUGUUUGUAUUUCUAUGUGCAACUGAGGAUUUUUUUCCAACUUAUGCAUUCACAUGCAUGUGAACAGACCCUGAACUGAAAUAAAAAAUUCCCUAUGUGU